rnacentral:misc_RNA from 1 species
UUAAGUUCAGCGGGUAGUCCUACCUGAUUCGAGGCCAGAUGUGAAAUGAAACACCAGUAAAGGCGGUCCUGAAAGGACGGUUAGAAGCCUUUGAAUGAUGACCCAGCGCCUUGACGGCUGCCCGCGUUGAUGUAUUAUCACACGGUUUAACUGAAGUCAAAAUCGUCAGCUAAUGUAUUCAAGACGAGCCGAACAUAAAG